rnacentral:misc_RNA from 1 species
GGCAAAUACAAUUUGGUGGAAGUGCUGAACAGGUAGCAUUGGCAAAGCAAAGGGUUGAUGAAUAUAUUUAUUCUCAGGUGAUACGACAAGCUGGUGUUCAACAGACAGCUCUGCAGAUGUGGUAAAUCUCAAACAGAAAGAGUUGUUAGUUGUAAUGGCAAACAUCUCAAUGGGAAGCUCUGAAGGACAGCUCCUACAAACUUC